GUGAGCCUUAUGAAGCAUUUUUUAUUUUUUUAUUCAGUCCUUUUUCCUGAAGUAAGAGCAUCAUAUUUAUAAAUUUUUUUAGAUCCUUUAUUAAGCCAUACGAGGCCAUCAAACUUCUUUUCGGUGACAUUCUGAAUCGUGUUCCUGUAUACUUCAACACGUGGAGAAGCAAUUUUCUCCCUGUAAUCAAUUGCGAAUCUCUCGCUUGACCCAAAUUCCUAAUAUUCUCACUGUGUUUACCCUCCGAGUAGUGAUCAUUGUGACAGGAUGAGGAUACCAAUGUUCAUCGGUUUCUUCACAGUGUUUCAAAUUAUGGGACUUCUUUUUUAUUUGGGACUGAAAAAGGUUCACGAACAGGAUUAAUCAGUCAGUUAUUGCGGCAAACUAGAAGAUCACCAUGGAUCAAUCAUUUUUAAUGGUUUUAUGUGAAUUCACGCAGCUCUUUCCAAAUAAGUAUGCACCUCUUUGUCUCCGAGAAUCCUUCAACGGGGCGAUAACAUAAUAGGAAGGAAUCAACAACAACAACAAAACUAUGUAAGAGCCUAUUUUCAUAAUGCGUGGCCAUCAGAUAAUUAGAAGAAUCAAUCAAAAUUAGCUCCCAUCAUCAAAUAAGUAGAACUAAAUUAUCGUAUAAACCAUCA